rnacentral:lncRNA from 1 species
UAUAAUUUAUAAUUAUUAUAAUUUACUAUAUAAAAAAAAACCACCAUUAGCGCACAACUACUCCACCAAUAUUAGAACCACCACUACUCCACCAUCAAAACCAUCACGUCAACACCACCGCCUCACCUUCAUUAUCAUAGAACCAUAAAAAUCUACACAUCGCCAACAAAAUCAGCGCCUCACCACCGUCGUUCACAAUUAGAUCUAGUGCCUAACCCAUUCAAUCUCAUUAUGUCAUUAAAAAAUUACUUAAAUCAUGAUCUCAAUCGAGUUUUCGAUCUGAAUAUACCCCACUCCGAUCUAUCAUCAAGAGGUAAACCCAUUCAUUCUCGCCCGAUGCCUUCACCUUCUCCAUUCUCCUCGCCGCCGAUUCCUCUACGAAAUUCACCGUAACUAGAACCUGAAUAGUAGUUUGGUCGCAAAUAUAGGAAAAGGUGUUGAAGGAAGUGGCGGUUGAGAGAGAAGUUAAACCCUUUUCGUCAUUUCAGAUCUAAAACCCCCUGCAUAAAUAAUUUCUGAGAGCUUUUUAAAUUCAUCAUCAUCACUUUCUUAAUUUCAAUUCAUCCACCAAACAUAUAACAGAGCAUAGAUCAAGAACAACAAAAAUAGGAGAGAGAAAAAAAGUUCUAACAGUGUACAAACUUGAAAAAGAAAAAGAAGAAGAAGACGGGUUUUGAAUUUUCAAUCCUUAAAAGUGAAGAACAAAUGGUCACUUACAUGGUGACUAUGGUAUGAAACAAAUGGUCACUUACAACACUAAAUCCACCAUUGCCAGAGAAACAAAACUAAGAUAUGAACCACAAAAAUAAAAAACUCAAAUUCAUUUUACCCCAAAAGUUUCUUCUACCUUAUCCAACAACAAUCUGAACCAUUUAAAUGGUCAUUAUGGUAUGAAAUAUCAAAACAAACAUCAGAUUUCUAGAGUUAAUAAUCAGAUAGAUGCAAAUCAAACAUUGGAAGUAAGAAGGGGUUUUUAGUGGAAUUGAAUGUUCGGAGUCGGAGUCGGAGUCGGAGUCGGAGGCUGAGGUAGAGGCGAUGGCGUGGCGAUGGCGAUGGCGGAUCUGGAUGAGAAUUUGUGGCGGUGAAGAUCUAUUACGUACAUAUCUAUUGAAGAUCUGGUGAUUUGUUAGUGCGUCUUUGAAAUUGCAGGUGUGUAUUUAGACUAUCCUAAAGCUGGAGAAUUAAUUUGUUCUACACAAAACUGAAGUGCGUUUUGGGAGAGACGGAGGAGGAAGAAGAAGUUCUUUGAUUUUGGGUUGUAAAUCUUUUUCUUUUGGUUUUUAAUUUUUUUUACGCUUGAAUCUUUGGGUUAAUGAUUAUGAGCCUCAAAUGUUUGUCUAGGUGUCAACUCAGUCAGUAAAAAAUGUUUACGUGUUUGUCACGUUAGUCUAGAUGACAUGUUAGUUAAUAAAAGGAACUAAGUUGAUUUAAAAUU